UAUGGAUCAAGUCAAUCAUUGAAUUGGAACCGAGCCACGCGAGACUUAAUGACAAUUAACGAAUGAUAGAAUGAACCGAAACUUUAUUUGAUAAUAACCAAAAUUAACAAGUCAAUCACUGCAUGAAGAAACCAAGAAGGGAGAAAAGCAUAGAGGUUACGUUCCGAUCAAAUCACCAGAAAUCGGCAAAAAAAACCUGCUCCAGCAUCGGGCGAUGGCACCGGUGGCAUACCAACUUCCUGUGCCGAGGCCGCAAUGGCAGGGACCAUGACGGCGAGCACGAAUACCUUGACAAUGUUAACUUGCGCCAUUUCUAUAAAAUUGAAGAAAGAAUAAGUACUCAAAUUGCUUUCACUGGGAUUGAAGUGGUGAAGUUUAGAAUAAGAUGUCGUUGAUAUAUAUCGGUAAUGAAUGACAAAUGAGUUUGAAGAAGAGCAACUCAAUUGCCGUGUAAAUUGACCUGGUAAUUAGAUUACGGGGAUCAAAAAAG
rnacentral:lncRNA from 1 species